CCUACGGGAGGCUGCAGUGAGGAAUAUUGGUCAAUGGACGAGAGCCUGAACCAGCCAAGUAGCGUGCAGGAUGACUGCCCUAUGGGUUGUAAACUUCUUUUAUAUGGGAAUAAAGUGUUCCACGUGUGGGAUUUUGUAUGUACCAUAUGAAUAAGGACCGGCUAACUCCGUGCCAGCAGCCGCGGUAAUACGGAGGAUCCGAGCGUUAUCCGGAUUUAUUGGGGUUAAAGGGAGCGUAGGUGGAUUGUUAAGUCAGUUGUGAAAGUUUGCGGCUCAACCGUGGAAUUGCAGUUGAAACUGGCAGUCUUGAGUACAGUAGAGGUGGGCGGAAUUCGUGGUGUAGCGGUGAAAUGCUUAGAUAUGACGAAGAACUCCGAUUGCGAAGGCAGCUUACUGGAGUGGAACUGACGCUGAGGCUCGAAAGUGUGGGUAUCGAACAGGAUUAGAUACCCGAGUAGUC
rnacentral:rRNA from 1 species